AUGACCAUCGUCUUGGUCUCGUUCAUUGUGAUGCUGUCCUCUUUAGGACUCCCGUGCCAAGCCGAGAUCACCCAAGAGCCGCUGGUGGUUGCAUCCGAAGGAAGAGAACUGAACCUGUCUUGUAGCCACCCCUCGGCUUCAAGUGAAACCAUUUUUUGGUACCGGCAGUUCCCCAGCCAGGGUCCUCGCAGCAUCGCCUCGACAUUCAGCAAGCCAGCGGAGAGUACGGAUCCUCCGGGGGUCUUAUACGUCUCCAGUGAUCGAAAGCGCAGCGUCUUCUCCUUCAGCAAGGUGACUCGGGUGGAUUCUGCGGUGUAUCUUUGUGCUCUGAGCGACACAGUGCCACAUCCUGGUGUUCGCGCUGGGCAAGAAGUCUUUCCUUUCUCUGAAGAGAAGCGACGGGGAGAGCAAUGA